rnacentral:rRNA from 1 species
UACGUAGGGUCCGAGCGUUGUCCGGAAUUACUGGGCGUAAAGCGCGCGCAGGCGGUCUCUUAAGUCUGAUGUGAAAGCCCACGGCUCAACCGUGGAGGGUCAUUGGAAACUGGGGGACUUGAGUGCAGAAGAGGAAAGCGGAAUUCCACGCGUAGCGGUGAAAUGCGUAGAGAUGUGGAGGAACACCAGUGGCGAAGGCGGCUUUCUGGUCUGUAACUGACGCUGAGGCGCGAAAGCGUGGGGAGCAAACAGG